GAAGCUGGGUGAAGGUCAAGGGGAAACAAAAGGCAACAUAUGUACUACUAUUUGUAAUAUUUUAAACAAUAAAAAAAACAGUUAAAACAG